AGCUCACAGAGUGGGAUGAUGACACUGUGUGGGAGCUCUGAGUAUUCAUGUCAUCUGUAAAAUAAAGCAGUUGGACCGCAUGUCCUCAAAGGUUCCUCAGCGUUCUCUAGCUCUACGAGACAAGUUUUCUGAUGAAAGAAAACAAUUAACUAUAAAAAAGUUGAAUUCUCUUCCCCUGAUUUAGCCUAAAUCAUUCUACUGUUGCUUGGCGAAAGCACUGUGACAGAAUCACAAGCCAGAGAAUAAUGAACAAAUGUGUGUUACUGCAAAUAGAACUGAUAGGAAAUGAAAAAUUGAAUGCCUAAAUAACAUCUCACUUCAAUGAGACCUCUGCAGAUAUUUUGUCAUUGAUAAAAUAGUCAUUGAGAAGCUGUCAGAAUCCCAAGAUGUAUAUGGAAGGCACUUCAAAGACCCUACAAAAAUCAAUAAGAAGGACAAAUAAAACAACCCAGUGUCUAUAGCAUGCCAUUGGAAGCCUUUGACUGAAUUGACCAGCUAUAAUUCAAGAGGAAAACAACAAAAGUCUUCAAUUUGGAUUGAAUAUGGGCACUUUUCCCAUCUGUUGUCUGGUUUCCACGGUGACCAUUGUGGCAUCAUCUGCUGUUCUGGGGCCCAAGCUGUACGGCACCCACCCAGACUCAGUCACGACAAAACAAGUGGCAGAACACAGAGCUCUCCUGGCAGGCACACACAUUUUCUAAAAAUAAACAGACGAGGACUUUGGAGAUGCUGUAUCACUCAACCCUGCUGGUAUUCAUGACACACUCUUCACCUCAUCCAUCCACCGCAAGUCCCGCAAAGUCCUUAUUCACACGGGACCGUGCAGCCUUGUUGAAGCUUUCUGAGAAACUUGGAAAUGAGAAACAUCAAUAGCAAAGCAACAUUGAUCGAUUUUUUUCCUAAAGUGAUGCAGAUCAUUUGAGUAUGCAGCUUCUCUGGUCUAACUGCCUUCUUCUCAGUCAAGACAUGCUGACUGGUUCCCUUCUCCAAAUGCCAGAGAGAGUUGGAGUUUAUUGAAUUGUUGAUAACAGGAGAUUUAUGAUGUUUCCAUCUAGUUUCUGGAUUAACUAUUCAUUUAUUCAACAAGAUGAGAAUCCCACAAAAUUCGCAACAUUAAAUGGAUUAUAAAUGG